GAUGAACGCUAGCUACAGGCUUAACACAUGCAAGUCGUGGGGCAGCGGAUACUUAGCUUGCUAAGUAUGCCGGCGACCGGCGCACGGGUGAGUAACGCGUACCGAACCUGCCCAUCACACAGGGAUAGGCUUGCGAAAGCAAGAUUAAUAUCUGAUGGUCUCAAUUUUAUGCAUGUAUGAUUGAGUAAGGCCUUCGGGCGGUGAUGGAUGGCCGUGCGUCCCAUUAGGAAGUUGGCGGGGUAACGGCCCACCAAUCCUUCGAUGGGUAGGGGUUCUGAGAGGAAGGCCCCCCAGAAUGGGACUGAGAUACGGUCCAAACACCGACGGGAGGCAGCGGUGAGGAAUAUUGGUCAGUGGGCGAGAGCCGGAACCAGCCAAGUAGAGUGCGGGAUGAAGGCCGUUGGGGUCGUAAUCCGAUUUUGUCAGUGAAUAAAGUGCACUACGUGUGGUGUUAUUGCAGGUAGCUGAAGAAAAAGGACCGGCUAAUUCCGUG
rnacentral:rRNA from 1 species